CAAAUACUUAUUUCACUUAUUAAAUUGCAAAUACAUUUAUUAAAUGUUUGACAUGCGUUUUUCUGGAAUUUUUUCUGGAAUUAUAGACUGAUAAUUUCAUUGUCAGUGGGAAAAUGUACAAAAUCAGCAGGGGAUCAUGUAAUUUUUUUCCUCACUGUAGCUACUGAAGGUUGUAUCCAGCAAAGUUUUUGUCUAUCCUGUCCCAAAAAGCAUGCAUAGAUGCGUACUUCCAAAAUCCACCAGAUAUAGUCACAACAUAACCAGCAAAGUUUUUGUCUAUCCGGAAAAACAGGGCAACUUAAAUGAUCGACAACAAUGAUAACAAUGUCGGUAGCCGGGAGAGCCGACGGAGCGGCCGGGCCAGUAGAGGACCCCUUGGCGACCGGGACUGGAGAGGGCGCCAGGGCGGCCGGGACAGGAGAGGGCGGACCCCGGCAAGCUCUGGCGGUAGAGGCCACUCCUCCUUGGGCUCAGGCGGUAGAGGCCACUCCUCCUCGGGCUCAGGCGGUAGAGGCCACUUCUGGCAGGUAGGAGGCGCUGGCUGCCGCUUCUGGCAGGUAGGAGGCGCUGGCUGCCGCUUCUGGCAGGUAGGAGGCGCUGGCUGCAACUCCAGGGCGGCAGGGAACAGUCGGCGCCGUGGCGCAGGCACCGGACGUAGAAGGGGUGCCGUCGGGACUUCCCUCAGGCACCCACUCAGCCCCCCCCUGGAAAUGUCCUGGGGGGACCUCGAUUCAGGAGGGGACCACGGACCGGGCGGUGGGCACCUCGCCCCCCUCUUCCUCCGGCCUCCCCUCCUGCGUCUUGUCCUUCCUGCAUAUCCUGCAGGAGGCCCAUAACCAGUUCCUCCUCCUGCUUGGUAAGGGGCAACCCCCAAAACUCUUCUUGGGGCAACCCCCAACCUCGCUCCUCAAGGGGAUCCUCCUCCACUCUCCCGUACACUGUCUCCUCGUCAUCAGAGGAGAGGGAGUCAGACCCCCAAUCACCCCUCCAGCUGUGAACCCUCUCUGGAGGGACUGCCUGCUGGUUCUGGAUUUGGUGGAUCAUUCUUUAAUGAAUGGUGCAGUGUUGCAGGAGCAAGGAACCAGGUGCAGGCAGGAGUAAGUCAGUGUAGAGUCUUUAAUUUAAGAA
ensembl:lncRNA